AGCUCUGAGGUGUUUUACACAUCAGAUUGCAAAUCUGAAGAAGUAGGUUAGCGCCUACCGGGGCUU
rnacentral:tRNA from 1 species